rnacentral:rRNA from 1 species
GACGAACGCUGGCGGCGUGCCUAAUACAUGCAAGUUGAGCGCUGAAGGUUGGUACUUGUACCGACUGGAUGAGCAGCGAACGGGUGAGUAACGCGUGGGGAAUCUGCCUUUGAGCGGGGGACAACAUUUGGAAACGAAUGCUAAUACCGCAUAAAAACUUUAAACACAAGUUUUAAGUUUGAAAGAUGCAAUUGCAUCACUCAAAGAUGAUCCCGCGUUGUAUUAGCUAGUUGGUGAGGUAAAGGCUCACCAAGGCGAUGAUACAUAGCCGACCUGAGAGGGGGAUCGGCCACAUUGGGACUGGGACACGGCCCAAACUCCUACGGGAGGCAGCAGUAGGGAAUCUUCGGCAAUGGACGAAAGUCUGACCGAGCAACGCCGCGUGAGUGAAGAAGGUUUUCGGAUCGUAAAACUCUGUUGGUAGAGAAGAACGUUGGUGAGAGUGGAAAGCUCAUCAAGUGACGGUAACUACCCAGAAAGGGACGGCUAACUACGUGCCAGCAGCCGCGGUAAGAC